rnacentral:rRNA from 1 species
GACGAACGCUGGCGGCGUGCUUAACACAUGCAAGUCGAACGGAAAGGCCCUGCUUUUGUGGGGUGCUCGAGUGGCGAACGGGUGAGUAACACGUGAGUAACCUGCCCUUGACUUUGGUAUAACUUCAGAAAACUGGGGCUAAUACCGGAUAGGAGCUCCUGCUGCAUGGUGGGGGUUGGAAAGUUUCGGCGGUUGGGGAUGGACUCGCGGCUUAUCUGCUUGUUGGUGGGGUAGUGGCUUACCAAGGCGUUGGCGGGUAGCCGGCCGGAGGGGGUGACCGGCCACAUGGGGACUGAGAUACGGCCCGGACUCCUACGGGGGGAAGCAGGGGGGAAUAUUGCACAAUGGGCGGAAGCCUGAGGCAGCAACGCCGCGGGCGGGAUGACGGCCUUCGGGUUGUAAACCGCUUUCGCCGGUGACGAAGCGUGAGUGACGGUAAUGGGUAAAGAAGCACCGGCUAACUACGUG